UUAAGUUUUUCAUAUCAUAUAUCACACUUGAUGGUGAUUGGUGACCUCCUUCCGCAUCUUGCAGGUGUACAUGUCAGAUCUAACAACACUAAUUACUUGGACAUGUGAAAGCCGCAGUGAUAUAAUCAAGGUAUUCAGGCAUCACAAUGCUUAUUGGGCUCCCAUUUCAUUUUACUUAGGGCUAUUGUGAAAAUAUGGCAUUCCUCCUUGAUGGCUGGCAAGCUGAUAAGUGUUCUUUGAUGUUGAACAAGGGGUUUGAGAUAAUAGAGUUGAUAGUUGAUGUGCAGUACUGCUUACAGGUGCGCUCUCAUUUACAAUUGUGUAUAAAAGAACAUUGUUGAGUCAUUGAUAUAUUUUAAAGCUACUAGAAAUCUAUAGGCCUUCUGUAUAUAGCCUUGUUAGGAAAAUGGUGGAUGGUAAUAGGUCCUUUCAUGUUUGUACGUGGAGGAUAGUUGCAUGUCUUUAUCUCCGAAUCAUUUAAGUCAUCAACCAUUCUCUUUUUCUCAUUCUACCAUGAAUUGCUGAUUGGGUUUGCAUGUCUUUAUCUCCAUAGCUCUCAUCCUUGGAGAUGGACUCUAUAACUUCAUCAAAGUACUGUCUUUCACCAUCAGAAGCUUCCAUGGUAGAUUGAAAUGGAAGGACCCUCAGAACAGGCCCCUGUUUACAUGUUACCACAUUCACGCACAUGUUCGAUGAUAGCAAAAGGGGUGGGUAGUUCAAUUGCAAGAAGAGAAUCAUUGCAUGUGAGUUGUCUGCGUUAUAAAACACAACUUUCUUGAUUGUAAUCUUGUCACCUACCCUAUUGAAUAAUGACAACUGUUCAAGGUCUCCAUUAAAUAUGAACCAUUGGUUGUAAC